AACGAACGCUGGCGGCAGGCUUAACACAUGCAAGUCGAACGCCCCGCAAGGGGAGUGGCAGACGGGUGAGUAACGCGUGGGAAUCUACCCAUCUCUACGGAAUAACUCAGGGAAACUUGUGCUAAUACCGUAUACGCCCUACGGGGGAAAGAUUUAUCGGAGAUGGAUGAGCCCGCGUUGGAUUAGCUAGUUGGUGGGGUAAAGGCCUACCAAGGCGACGAUCCAUAGCUGGUCUGAGAGGAUGAUCAGCCACAUUGGGACUGAGACACGGCCCAAACUCCUACGGGAGGCAGCAGUGGGGAAUAUUGGACAAUGGGCGCAAGCCUGAUCCAGCCAUGCCGCGUGAGUGAUGAAGGUCUUAGGAUUGUAAAGCUUUUUCACCGGUAAAGAUAAUGACGGUAACCGGAGAAGAAGCCCCGGCUAACUUCGUGCCAGCCGCCGCCGUAA
rnacentral:rRNA from 1 species